UACGGGAGGCAGCAGUGGGGAAUUUUGGACAAUGGGGGCAACCCUGAUCCAGCCAUGCCGCGUGAGUGAAGAAGGCCUUCGGGUUGUAAAGCUCUUUCGGCCGGGAAGAAAUCGCAUAGGUUAAUACCCUGUGUGGAUGACGGUACCGGAAUAAGAAGCACCGGCUAACUACGUGCCAGCAGCCGCGGUAAUACGUAGGGUGCGAGCGUUAAUCGGAAUUACUGGGCGUAAAGCGUGCGCAGGCGGUUUCGUAAGACAGAGGUGAAAUCCCCGGGCUCAACCUGGGAACUGCCUUUUGUGCUGCGAAGCUAGAGUACGGCAGAGGGGGGUGGAAUUCCACGUGUAGCAGUGAAAUGCGUAGAGAUGUGGAGGAACACCGAUGGCGAAAGGCAGCCCCCUGGGCCGAUACUGACGCUCAUGCACGAAAGCGUGGGUAGCAAACAGGGAUUAGAUACC
rnacentral:rRNA from 1 species